UCUGCUGGCUACGUGUCAAUUAAUCUUCCAUUAUUAUUUAUACAAUUAGCAAUUUUCAUUUCAUCAAUAAUUCAAUAGUUUUGCUACAAAAGUGAUACUACCGAUGACACCAAAAUAUAAUGAGAAUUAUACCAAUAUUUUGAACAAGAUGACAAGUGCGGCUAUGAAGAAAAUCGUUUCGAUUCUACAUCGAACAUUUUAUUGUAUUAUAAAUACAUCCACAUAU